GCCCAGACUCCUACGGGAGGCAGCAGUGGGGAAUAUUGCACAAUGGGGGAAACCCUGAUGCAGCGAUGCCGCGUGGAGGAAGAAGGUUUUCGGAUUGUAAACUCCUUUUAUCAGGGACGAUAAUGACGGUACCUGAAGAAAAAGCUCCGGCUAACUACGUGCCAGCAGCCGCGGUAAUACGUAGGGAGCGAGCGUUGUCCGGAAUUACUGGGUGUAAAGGGAGCGUAGGCGGGACGGCAAGUCAGAUGUGAAAACUGGGGGCUCAACCUUCAGACUGCAUUUGAAACUGCUGUUCUUGAGUGAAGUAGAGGUAAGCGGAAUUCCUAGUGUAGCGGUGAAAUGCGUAGAUAUUAGGAGGAACAUCGGUGGCGAAGGCGGCUUACUGGGCUUUUACUGACGCUGAGGCUCGAAAGCGUGGGGAGCAAACAGGAUUAGAUACCCUUGUA
rnacentral:rRNA from 1 species